AUGCGAGAGGCCCUGGGUUCAAUUCCCAGCUCGCCCCGGGCGUGUGGUCUAGUGGUAUGAUUCUCGCUUUGGGU
rnacentral:tRNA from 1 species